CGCUGCAGCAGUGCGGGCAGCUACAGAAGCUCAUCGGCAUCUCCAUCGGCAGCCUGCACGGGCUGCGCACCAAGUGCGCUGUGUCCAACGGCCUCACCCAGCAGGAGAUACGGACCCUGGAGGUGAGGCCACUGAAGGUCUGAGGGAGAACUGACUUGUCAGGAACUCCUGUUAAGGAGAAUUAACAAAGUGUGGUUAUUAAAGGAGAACUGAGUUGGGAGUCAGACCUGGAGGACUGCACCCUUGGUUAAGACAUUAUACCACCUUGAGUCUGGCCUGUUGACUGAAGAUACAACAGAGAAAUGCAUAAUGUCCACUGAAUUUAUUAAAGUUCCAAAAUCGGUCGCGCGCAGUGGCUCACGCCUGUAAUCUCAAUACUUCGGCAGGCCGAGGCGUGUGGAUCACGAGGUCAGGAGUUGGA
rnacentral:lncRNA from 1 species